GACCCGCAGCUGGGCGUGACACAGGACAGCGGGCACGGGGCCCUGGGUGUGCCGCGGCGCGCAGGAGCUGCACCUGCACAGCCCAUCGCAGGCUCAGGGCAGCGUCUGCGUGGGAACGCUCUGGACCUGGAACCGCAGUCCUGGUCUCAAGUAUUCAAUUACUUCACCCAAAGUGUGGCUUGGUCAAAUAAUAAGCAAAGAAAAAAAGAAGUGCCCCAGGAAACACUUGAUCAACAUGCCAGAAAGGUACUCUGAAGUUGUGCACGUUUUCUACACCAAUCAUAUCCAUGAAAGUACUACUGAAUGGCUUUCCAGGUGCAAAAGUUCUUCCUGAUGUGCUGCCAGCACUGACUCAAGUUGUUUUCUGAAGGCAUUAUCCAUUUUAUGAAGCUUUUCC